CUGAUAUGCUUUAGCCUUGGAGAUCAUCCCUCUGUAAGUUUAGCACAAAUAUAAACACUAUAAAUCACAAUAUCCAUGUUUUAACUGGAACGUGUGUGUUUUGGUUGAACGUGUGCUCUGCUAGCUUGCAGCAGCAGUCACAAACCGUUUUACUGUUGUUGUGGAUUUAUCUCCAAGCAGAUUAGUUGUGUUUUUGUACAGUUUAGUUUUAGACAGAAUUUGAGUGUAAGCAGACCUGGUUAUAAUUCUUGCUCUUUACAUUAUUUAGUAACAUCGCAGUUUUACAGCAACUCAAAAGAAGAAAGAGCCAAGCCGUGUGUAUUGAAGAACUUUUGGCCUAAGUCCAGACUGUUGUGGGAAGGAACGGCAAGUGAUUCAACUGGAUGACCCAGCCAGGGUAUAGGAAUAAUGCUUAGUCAGCAUUCCUAAUGUGGUGACCUCAAUUGAUUAAGUUCAAAAUACCUUUUUCAGAAAGUAUCAGGGAUAGUUCCCUAUUUUAUGUUUUACACUUAUAACGACUUGUAACGUCUUACAUGGGCGGGAUGUCAGUACCUAAAUUUUGGCUUCUCUUUUGCGUAACUGUGGGAGCAUCGUCUAGUUAGUUGUCAAACAAUUUGCCAAUCUCCUUUAUUUUUAAAAGAGACAAAAAGAAAAUACAUAUCAGAAAAUUUCAGUCCCCACUCCAAACAGUUUUAAGUCCCUGAGGAGGGUUACUAUGGAUUGACAUUUAUUCAUCACGUAGUCCUACCUCAUGAUUUAACGAUUCCAAGCCAGCAUCUCCUCUCUUCAGCUGGGUUUGUAUUCAGCUUGAGUAUAUUUGCAUAAAACUUGGUCCUUUGACAUUGAAUUGAAGACUCUUCCUGUCUCUCAGAGGUCAACAUGUCUGAAGCAGCACUUCAGUCUGCUGAGCCAGUUCAGAGUGUUCAUCCCUUUAUGCUUCACAGAAUCUAUUUUCUGAGUUCCACCUUUUGUACCUUUGAGGUCUAGGAGUCCUGCUGUGGACUGUGGACGGCAUCCUUGAUCAUACAGGGAUCUUAAGUGUCAAUGUCACAGGCAGCUUACACACCUGUGAAGGCUUCAUUAAUGCUGAACUUUAAAUACAGGCUUUAGAGGAACAUUUGCUGCCAUCCAGACAGUGAUGUCUUCAGGGAAGACCUUCAUAUUUCAGCUAGACAAUGCCAAACCAUAUUCUGCAGGGAUUACAGCAGCAUGGCACUGUAGUAGAAGAGUCCUGCCGCUAAACUGGCCUCCCCGCAGCCCUGACAUGUCAAAACAUCCGUUUUCUUUGCACUAUUUUCAACCAAAAAUAGGCUUUAGAUGAUUUUCACAUCACUAAAGUCUGUUUUCGUCAACAUUUUACUCAGCGACUCAACUUUUUUGGAGUUGGGCCAUAAAUCUGCAUCCAUAUGGAGGGUCAGAGCCAAAACCUCUGCUUUAAUAUCCUACUGCUAUAACAAAGUUUCAGCAAAUACAUCUUGAGUUGUUUGGCUGGAAUUAUUUUGCACUCUAACUUUUAUCUUUUACAGCUGUCCCACAAAUAUUUUAGCUGUUUUAUUGAACCUUCUCUUGGCUUUUUAACGGCUCUCAUAAAUCCUUUUAAAAUGCUUCUUUAUAAUGUUUUAUUGGCCUUUUUUGUCAUGAUGUGUGGGUAACUUUUGUAAAGCACUUUAAAAUGCCUCGUUGCUGAAAUGGGAUUGUGUAUUUUUAAACUUGCCCUGCCUUCACACAUAACUGUUUGCAUAAAUUCAACAUGGCAUUUCUUUUCUUCUUUAACAUUUUUGGAUGUAUGGUGAGGGUUUUGAGUAUUUUUUGUUUUUCCCACUUUAUGCUUCUUUUGUCAUUUAUUCAAGGUUGACAGACAUCUAUGCAGAAAGAAACUCCAAAUAAUUAAUGUGGACAUCCAACCCAAAUCCAUUAAAUCAAUCUACUAUUUCGAGGGUAUCCCAGGUGAGGCAGUUAAUCUGAAAAAUACGAUAUAAAAAGAUUGUUUCACUAACUGCAUCUUACAGUGAAAAACAGGUAGUUAAUGCCGCUGAAGAUGCACCUAAAGUUACCCAUAGUCGUGCAAAUUAUCUGUGAUGGAUGUGCAUCGUGCCCUAGCAGAAGUAGCUGAAUAUGGAUAAGAACAAGGAGCUGGAUGGAGGGAGGAUGAAGGUAGCUGUUCAGUUUUCACAGUGGAAACGGUGAUCCCAAUGUCAGUGUGACAGGAGAGGACGAAGCUCUCAUUACCACAGGAAAUUUUUACAUUUACAUCAAGAUACCUGUAAGAAAGGGGGUAAAUUAACUAACAGCAUUGAACAUUCCCAUUCCCUGAGGCACCAAGCCAGUUUCUGCAAUACAAGUGGUUUGUUUCCAGUCUUACACCACAAUGAUAAAGAGCAUGGGCAUUUUAUUUUGGAGAUAAUUCCUAUUAUUGUUUCCUCUCUUUCUUUCUCUUUCAAAAGCAGUAAUGAUGCAGAAAGUGACGUGAAGGGUUCAUUGAGCAGUGCCAUCUAAUGUUUACACGCCCCUGGGGUCAAAAUAACACAACCACAACCUUCCUGGACUUUACUACUAAAAUUAAGAAAAUAAGAAAAUAAGGUCAGUGUCUGUAAAAGCACAAAAAAAGAUCAGAAAGUUUAGAUCUGUUGAAACAGAUAUAGCUUUGUUACUGCAAACCCUUUUUGAAUAUUUGCACUCUGGGAACAUGACACAAUAGUAAAAUCAAAGUAAAAGCUCAUUGCAUGGAUUCAUUAAUAAAAUAUAUGCUGCAUAAUGCUGUGUUUAAACAAAACAUAAAAAUCAUCCAGGGCUGCAUAAUUACUGCUUUAAGAGAAAGAGCUUUUUUGCUCUAGAUCUUGGGUGUGGCGCUGCAAAUUUAUUAGCACUUAAUACAAGAGCAGAUUACAUUUGGCUCCUUUAUGAAGGGAAAUAGUUCAGGUUUUAGAGUUGUUGGAGUUUUACUUGUGUGCUUGUAUUUUGAUUUGGAAUAUAUUCUGGUUUACAGCUUCUCCAUCCACUGUUUUUCUUUCUCUGGGGUCGCAUCCAUCCAUUUUCUUCCAUGUAUCUGUGGUUGGGUUGCAGAUGCAGCAGGUUUGCACAAGUUUCACCAGACAUCCCUUUCCUUGGCAAAGUUUUUAGCUCCUCCUGGUGUGAACUGAGGCAUCCCUAAAACAGAUUUGAUGCAUAAUCCCUCCAGUGCUUUCUUGGUCCAACUCUGGGAUCUAUCCCCAGGUGGGCAUGAAAACUUCCAAAUGGCAGCACCAAGGUAUCCUAACAAGUUGCCAGAAUCACCUACAUUGGUGUUUACUUGGGCCCCUGACACUGUCCCUGAAGAUGCUUUUCAACAACAGGAACUCUGUAAGAACUCGUGUUUUUAACAGCAGAAACAAGGGCCUAAAUUUAGCUUUGGAGCAAUGAUCAACCCUGUGAGGAGUCUCUGUUGCACAGGAGCUUGUACUUUCUAGGUCCAGGAGUUUCUGUAGGCAGGGACUGAAGAUGAUCUCAUUUAUACCUACAAAUAGGUCUUUCAUUUACGUACAAAGUACAGCUGUGGGCACACACACAUGCUCACUGACGAGGGAGAAGAAGAAAUUGUAUUGGAAUAAACCCUGUGUAACCUGAUGUUAUUUUAUGGGUAAAACCAUAUACACCAGCUGCACUAAGAGGGGUGGACAGUUAAUGGCACAAAAGGGAGAUUGCACUCGAGCAACUAUUUUCCCUGACCUGAAGUUUUUCAUAAUUAGCACAGCUGCCAGUGUAAUUUGGCACUUUUUGUACAUAAGUUCAGCAGAGACAUGAAUAGAGAGCUGUGCCAGUGACUUAAUUGACCAUACCACAGUCCAAGAUGUCACUGUCUGUCCCAUAGGACGUCAGACAACAAUGAACCACAGGAACAAUUAAGUUCGUUAAAGAGAACUAAAAUGUCCUGGUAUUUUUAGAAACUUCCCCUGGAAGAAAAAACUUUAGUAUCGGGGUAAAGGAUCAUCCAUCCAUUAUCGUUACCACUUUUCCCACUCCAGGGGGGGCUGGAGCCUAUCCCAGCUGUCACUGGUUAAAAGGAGGUUCACCCUGGACAUGUCGCAAGUCUAACCUAGGGCUGACAUACAGAGACAGACAACCACUCACAUUUACAGGCAAUUUAGAGUGACCAUUGACAAGCAUUUUUUUUCCAGAUUGUGGGAGGAAGUUGGAGCAAAAUUUGCAGUUUGUGUGGAGUUUCAACAAAAAUGUCCCCCCCUGCUCUCUUUAAAUCAUUUAAUUUCACUCAUGACUGUUGCUGCUGUUGUGGAAAAUGCAAAUGAAAAGCUUUUCUGCCGUUUAAUGUUGAUCAUUCAGUUUGACACCUACCCUGUGACAGCAGCUCAGACAUUUUAAACAGUUGAGAAAUAGCUGAUCUUUAUGCUGAUGGACUUGUUUACUUGCUAGCUAGCUUAUGACUUUACAUUUUAGAGAAUGAGCUUCUUUGUGUCUUUCUGUGCAUUUCAUUGAUCUGUGUAGGAGUAGGAGCAGGCCUUGUAAAAUUCACAUCGAAGUCCUGUCUCAAAGCUGUUGUGGCUGUAACCUACUCCUUUGAAAAUAUUUUGCCUCUCAUAAGUGUACACAAAGGUUUGCAGCCACUCUUUUACUACUCCCGAGCAGGGCACUGAUGAUAGUAACUGAAUGUGUAGAAAUAAAGUUUUUGAAAACCCACGUGGAGCUGGAUUCAAGCCCACAAGAGAAAAGGGUAAAUGUUACAACCCUGGUUGUGAUUGAGGUGGCUGAGGGAAGGUAACCUGCCCGUAACCUCAGGCUGACUUGCCACGACAUUGUAUGUAACCGCAGCUUCAGUCUCUUCUGCAGGAAUCUGUUGCCUCCGCCACACUCAGAGAAGCACACCCCUCCCUACCAAACCAGUCAGAGUGACAAGCCUUUGACUCACUCUUAAUCAUAGUCCUCAUUACAAGUAUGUCAUCAUAUAAAGAUAUCUAAAAAGGUCAUCUUUUCUACACUAUCAUACACUUUUAGCAUAUCCGACACCCAUUUAGGCUAUAACCUUUAAAUUAAAGAAGAUAUUAGAUGAAUAUAAUGAAAUUCAAUCAGGAAAAAGCUCUGCCAAGGUUGAGUAUUUACCAUAAAGAAUGAUUUAUUUACAACAAGGCACUUUGAACCAACAAACAUUAAACAACAGAAAAGCGGAAAAUAAUGAGGAUAAACUAUCACAACUUCAGGGUUCUCAAAAGCCAAAUUAAUAAACAAAAUGCCUGUACUAAAUGGAAAUAAAAGACAUAACGACCUAAUCAGGAGGAAACAAACACUGUUCUGACCUCUCUGUCUAAACACGACACAGGAGGAAACCAAGGGUACAAAGACAACGGCAGAGAACUCCUACCAUGAACUCAAAAGAUUCGGGUUCACAGAAUAUGCUCACAGUGGCUUUCUACAGCAACAGUCAAACAAGCAACCCUGCAUGUCUACAGGUCUACAGGUCUACAGGUUGAGAGAGACAGAAAGACAGAGACAAGAAAGUGUCUUUUAAACAGCCAGCUCCCCUUAUGAGUGAUGCCUCUCAGCUAAACAUUUGAAGUUGGACAUUUAUUCAUCUGCACAAAAAGGGAUGUGAGACAGUGGCACAUUGAACCUGUUUUGAAGUUGAGGUCUCACCUUGCAUGUUACCAUCCAGUUAUUGAGUUGAAGCUGCUGCUUCCUCUAGCUGAGUCAUGUAGCAGAUUAUUCUGAUGUCAGCUGACAGCUUGGAAUCAAUGAAGCCUAUACGUUGUCAAACAUAACACUGGAAGUGACAGACAUUAAUGUCCUACAGAUGCUGUUAAACAUGUUUGGAUGAGGAGAUGGAGCAGAAAACUGAGAAGGAAGCAAGGAUUGAGAUACUCAUUGAGAUACUCAAAUUCCUGUUCGUGUUCAUACUAAAGAACAACAAACCUGCACAAUAAUACUGCACACCGUGGCAUUGAGGCACCCCGAAUCACUACAGGGGGGACUUCCUCACUGUGACAGCCCCACCCUUGUAUUUCCUGGCAUAUUUUGCUCUAUUUGCAGUUUAAUUGUCUACUCACCUUUUUUUGUGCUGUUCCUGUCAAAGAGAGGUUUGAGUAGAUUGUGUGAUUCUUUGCAGUGGUGCAGAAAAAGUGUACAUCCUGGUUUCAAAGUAUCAUCAGCCCCAAUCACAGUACAACCUAGAAGCCCACCAGUCACAUCAGAACAUAACAGCCUAGUUGAUCUAGGCUGGACCAGUCCUCUGACUUUAUAUGAGUUGGUUGAGGUUACUUUAGUGCACUUUGUUAAAUACUAGGAGCAAAACUGAUCUCAAUGUCCUUUGUAAAAAUAUACAUUUCCUUUUGUUCCUCUCAGAGAGCAGCAUUAUUGAUGCUACACUGUCAGCAGCAGUUGGUGGUCCAGGUGUUACUUUGUCUGAUUACUGCACACUGUUGGGCUAAAUUAACUACAACCAUCCAUCAAAUUUAUGACUGGAUAGUAAUCUGUUAUAUAUAGCCAUAUAAUAGGCCUCAGUAUUUAUUUUUAUGUCCUCUUUAAAUUCAUUUCUCCAUCACAUUCAGCUUUUAUCUUAUUCAGUUCAUUUUGUGUCAAGCAUACUGUGCUCACAAGAGGUGUUUCUGUGCAAGUAAAAUCAAACAAGAACUAUCCGCAGGUAAGGAGUGAUCUUUUUCUCUAAAACACAGACAUUUUAUUCAAGACAAAACAAUGUGGCUUUGAGGGAGUUAAGUCAUUAAACCAUUUUUCCUAAAAUUAUGUUAAUUGUGUUCAGGGAUGGGGUGUUUGGAGGGGUGUUGAGUUAAAUACACAAAUAUCCUGGAGUAUAUAACUUGCAGUUUUCAUUGUCUAACUUUUUUUCUUCAUGUUUCCAACAGUUCCUGUUUUUGCAAACUGUAAGUUCUGAAUCCAAAAAGC